CUGACUUACCUACAAAUUGGACAUAACAACAGAUUUAGGGAAUAGAUCUCGUUCGUAACCUGAAGACUGCCUGCACUUAAUAUACAGAUAUUAAGUAUCAUAAUAAAAUGCAGCUGAAAGGCAGUGUUUUAAUGUGAAAAUCUGUGUCUAACUGCAAUCCGUUUAAAACACCAUAUGUGGCGGAUUAAUGACUCAUCCAAGGCGGAGUUUAACCGCAUAUCCCUUCCUUAAAUAACCUGUUAGGGCCAUUCAUCAAACCGCCCACCAAACACAAGCCGUUCAUCCCACAACGUCCACGGUGAUCUGCAGCGCUUCCACACGAAGGAGGGAGUCGGAGGAUCCAGUGCAGACUUCGGAAGAUGUACAGGAAGUGAUAAGACCUGAGAAGGAGCCCGAUUACAGCCCCGGAUCACACAGCUACCCGCUGAGGCACCGUACUGUCCAUCAAAAGCAAAGCAAUGUGAAAUGUCAAAGCCCUCAAUGGAGCUUUGAGGCUCCUGCGUCAGUCUGCUCCCUUAAUUCUCCCUUGCAUUUCCUGACCUCCAUUUUUUUGGUCUGCAGCUAUGAUGAGGAAGCCCCCCGAGGAACCGAAAAGGCCGCCGAUGCUGGGAAUGCAGAGGAGGCUCGGAUUUCCGGCUCUCUGAGGAGGUCACAGAUUCUGCUGGAUGCGGAAAUAGAUUUUCAUGUCUGGUUCUCGGCUCCUCCAGCCCCCCCACCACGUCAGGGCAGAACCCGCUGAAAGAGUUCAGCCCCAGCCGUGAUUAAAUGUGUCUUGUGAUGAGAUUAUUAAUAAAUGUGUUUGACCCGA